rnacentral:rRNA from 1 species
UGCGAAUGGCUCAUUAAAUCAGUUAUCGUUUAUUUGAUAGUACCUUACUACUUGGAUAACCGUGGUAAUUCUAGAGCUAAUACAUGCUAAAAACCCCGACUUCGGGAGGGGUGUAUUUAUUAGAUAAAAAACCAAUGCCCUUUCGGGGCUCCUUGGUGAAUCAUGAUAACUUAACGAAUCGCAUGGCCUUGCGCCGGCGAUGGUUCAUUCAAAUUUCUGCCCUAUCAACUUUCGAUGGUAGGAUAGUGGCCUACCAUGGUAUCAACGGGUAACGGGGAAUUAGGGUUCUAUUCCGGAGAGGGAGCCUGAGAAACGGCUACCACAUCCAAGGAAGGCAGCAGGCGCGCAAAUUACCCAAUCCCGACACGGGGAGGUAGUGACAAUAAAUACUGAUACAGGGCUCUUUUGGGUCUUGUAAUUGGAAUGAGUACAAUUUAAAUACCUUAACGAGGAACAAUUGGAGGGCAAGUCUGGUGCCAGCAGCCGCGGUAAUUCCAGCUCCAAUAGCGUAUAUUAAAGUUGUUGCAGUUAAAAAGCUCGUAGUUGAACCUUGGGCCUGGCUGGCCGGUCUGCCUCACCGCAUGUACUGGUUCGGCCGGGCCUUUCCUCCUGGGGAUCCGCAUGCCCUUCACUGGGUGUGUUGGGGAACCAGGACUUUUACUUUGAAAAAAUUAGAGUGUUCAAAGCAGGCCUUUGCUCGGAUACAUUAGCAUGGAAUAAUAGAAUAGGACGUGCGGUCCUAUUUUGUUGGUUUCUAGGACCGCCGUAAUGAUUAAUAGGGAUAGUCGGGGGCAUCAGUAUUCAGUUGUCAGAGGUGAAAUUCUUGGAUUUACUGAAGACUAACUACUGCGAAAGCAUUUGCCAAGGAUGUUUUCAUUAAUCAGUGAACGAAAGUUAGGGGAUCGAAGACGAUCAGAUACCGUCGUAGUCUUAACCGUAAACUAUGCCGACUAGGGAUCGGGCGAUGUUAUUCUUUUGACUCGCUCGGCACCUUACGAGAAAUCAAAGU